rnacentral:lncRNA from 1 species
UUUUUCAAAAAAUCACACAUGAAUCAAGGUCGUAACUUCUGUUUUAAUAUAUAAAAAUUAUUACUUUGAAUAUACGGCAAAUCUCCAAAAUAGCACCUUUUUAAGUUUAUGUCACAAAAAUAGCUCUCAAAAACUAAAAUGACAAAAAUAGCCUUUUAUCUUUUGAAAAAUUUAAUUUUUUUUAUUUUUAAAAUUUGAAAUCUUAUCUCGAAACCCCAUUCCCCAACUCUAAACCCUAAAACAUAAAUCCUAAACCCUAAACUAUAAACCCUAAAUCCUAAACCCCACUCUUUAACCCUAAACUCUAAACCCUAAACUCUAAACCCUAAACCCUAAACCCUAAAUCCUAAACCUCACCCCUUAACUCUAAACCCUAAUGUCUAAAUUAAUUUACCAUUGGGGUAUAAGUGUAUAUUUAUCUCUUUUGAUAAAACAUUAAAUGCUAUUUUGGUCAUUUUUAUUUUUACGGGCUAUAUUUGUGACAAAAACUUUUUUAGUGUUAUCCUACUCAUUUUCUCUUGAAUAUAUUGUUAAUAUCAUCUUGAACUAUAUCAUAUAAUAACGUUAAUACAAGAUAGAUUAUGCUAAAAGAUAUUACAGAAGUCAAUCUCACACUCGUUUUUCAUAGAUGUUACGUGGUCAAUUUGUCACUAAACCGUAAUCAUGCAUGUUGGUGCCCACGACAAAAAGUGCAAGACUUGAGAUUUAAGGAUUGCAUGAGUUAGGUUCCAUUUUCCAAUCACGGACCUAACUUAACAGUAUGACAUUCCUCUUAACCUUUCAUUUGCAGUUCUAUCACGUAUACUUGCAUAACAUUAUCCCACUUUUUUUUUUUGAAAUUUAAUAUUAUCCCACUUAAUUAUGAAAAGUUACCAAUAUAAUACAAUAAAACAACAUUAUAAACAGUUUGUCGACCACUUUCUCUGAAGUAGAUGACUCACCAAGAAACAUUGAAGAUUGAUGAUGAAUUGUUAGGCUAACAACCGCUUUACUUGGUUAAGUUUUUCAAACCUUUUUUUUGUAAAAAGAGUGCGACGAAUCCCUUGAAGAGGACGUAACUCCAAAGUGUACAGAGCUAUAUAUACUCUAAAGGAUUAUUAAUCAAUUCCUAAUACUUUAUUUUUCUUUGUAGUAAACUAAACAUUCACUUAGUUCGUAACUUCUUAUGUAGCGAGUAUCAUUCACUAACUUGGUUUUUGUGAUCCAUUGGCUAUGAUUGGUUUUAAUGUGAACGUUAAUAUUUACGUGUUCUUUGUCAAAAAAAUAAAUAUAUAUUUACGUGUGCAUUAAAAUUUUAAACAAUUAUUUAUAAAUCUUAAAUCGGAAACUUUUUCAGAUCUUAGAAAAUUAUAUCUAGUCUUCAUUUUUUUGAACGAAACUAUUACCUUGUUUUUAACACUGAAAUACUUCAUUAAUUAAUCUAGGGACCAGAGGUCAAAGUUAGGGGAGUAAAACCGCAACGAACCGUAGAAAAUUUAUUUUACUACCAUAGGACAACUGAUAUUUGUAAAGAAUAAUAAGAACAUAAAUUAAAAUUACAAUACCGAACUAUAAAACUAAAGAAGAAUUGCAGAGUCGAGAUGAUUAAUCUCUUUCUUUAAAUCUUUAAACACCCCGUAGUGUGACGGUUUCAUAGCGCUCAGAUUUCCAGGAUACAACUGCAGCACUGUUUCUGUUUACUUUCACCGAAAAACAGAAUCUAUCGAACCUAAUUUUGUGAUGUACUCUCAGACUCAAAAUAAAAAAAAAUACUAACAUAACUAUUCAAAGUAGGAGAAAGUGAUUUGUUGUUAAAACUCUAUUUUUUCUAUAAUGCUUACAAGCCCUUUUAUAGAAAAAUAAUGAGAAGCACAAAUUCAUUCUUCAACACAAAAAUGAAACCUUCAUGGUGCACUAAUAGAGACUUUAAUUCUUGUCAAUUAGUAUGUGAAUUUAUUCCACAUUUUGACCAAGAAAUUAAAGAAUAAAAUUAUUAUUGUUUUGACCAAUUCAAACAAAAUAAUAUAAUUUAAAAUUAAUUUCUUUUUUUAUAUUUUAUCAAUAUAAAAGAUCAACAUAUAUUUGAUUUAAGUUAAUGAACAUGAAUUCCAACUAACAAAUCAAAACUCAAAUUCAAGUUUAAAUAUCCAAUGAGUAUAUUUGCUACUUUGUACAAUUUUCUCAAAUCACACACAUUAGAUCUCCAUUUCUCAUUCAAAUAAAACUUUAUUUUUGACAUAUGAAUACAUUAUUCAUAAUGUUCAAAAAAUAGUUCCAACAAGAACAGCAGAAAAGCCAGUACCAGUAGGCACCAGAAACAAAAUGAACAAAGGAUUAAGCACAACAGAGGCUCUCCUGACAGAAGCAGAGAAAACAAUAUAAAUGAGACAGAAAUGACCACAGACAAGUUAAACGGUUCUUGCCUCUAACUUGUGAUUUAUUUUGUAAAAUAAAAAUUGUAUAUAUUUUUUUGGUAAAAAAAACUGUAUACAUUAUACCUCUUAAAUAUUAAGUUCUUUACACAAAGAAAAUCCCCUCAAUAUGAAACUUCUUCUCACACAUAGAAAUUCAGGGAAAUCAAGGAAAUCACUAUGAAACUUCUUCUCACACUUAGAAAUUAAUGAAUGAUUAGCAAAGGAUGAUUAUAUAAUGGAAGUAAGUAUAUAUCGUGAAAAUGUGGUGUGAGGGAACAUGAAGGACACCCGGAAAAUUACAAAUAUGCAUGAGCGGGAAGUUUAAUCAGAAAGUAGUUUGGUGAAUGAGAUAAUUAAGCUCUAUACCAACUGUUUUUUUCAUUGUCGGGCAACAUUAAUUACCAACGCAACACUUUGAAUUGCUUAUCAAUCUGAAAUUGAGAAACGUGUAUAGUGGCUAGGGAGCAACCGCGUCACAAAUACACGGUUCAAGUUUUGGAUUCAUGAAGUUGUUGAAAGUAGAUAUAAAUUUACUACUACCAAAACAUCUACUGAUUUUGUAAAGUUAAUUUCUGUGUUUUCACUCCCAUACUGAUAAGAACACUGUGAUAUGUUACUAAUUCUAAACUUUUACUGUUAGAUCCGCUUAAAUCUAAUUGAAGAAGUUGAUAACUAAAUGGUAAUUUUAAAAAGAAUAAUUGCACCUCGUAUUUUUUCAGAAUCUUGGUAUGAGGAAUGUAUCAUAUAUAUAAAAAUAAUAAAAACUUAGGUUGUUGAUUAGUAUAUGAAGUUUAAAUUCUCUAUGAUGAAAUUUUACAGACAAUCAAAAAAAUAAAAUACAAAUACUUACAAAAAUAACAAAUACUUUCAUAUGUCGAGUUCACUUACACUUGCAAGUUUACGGAGACAUUUGCACUUAUUACUAUAUUGAAUUAAUAAUGAAAACAUGAAGAAAUCCUUAAUUAAAGCUUGUUGCUGAUGCAGCAGCAGACGCCACUUAGGAAAGCUACUAAUGUCCAAACUUGUAUCUAUGUUCGCUUCGUCCUUCACUCUCUAUAAAUUCACUUAGUCUCUUCUCACUUUCACUCAUCAAGUAAUACUUUUAUUUCACUUCUUUAAAAUUUAGAGUCCAUUUAUAAGUUGUGCCAAAAAGAAAAGAGUUAUUCCUUUUAUACAUUGUUCUUACAACUACUAUAUAUCUAAUAUUAUACUUAUUAUUUAAUUAUUCUCCUAAACAUGUGUACUGGAAAAUCAUCACACACAAAAUCCUCACCCAAGGUUAUUCAAUAAUUGCUACUUUUCACACCAAAUUCAAUUACUAGUUACUUUCGUGCACGUAUGUGUAUACGCAUUGCAUGUAAAUAUGUUUGCAGGCAUAUAGAAAAUAGGGUACCUGUGUUUUUUUUUUUUUUGUAAACACAGGGCACCUGUGUUUAUAUGUACAUUAACUAAGUCAAAGAGAUUUAAACUGACAAAAUUUUCUCCUUAUUUUUAAAAGUUAGGGAAAAUAAGUCCAGCUUCUUCUGUACUGUCCCUGGGUUCCGACAGUAAAGGAAUGGUGAGAUGAAGAUUCUUUCGUUUUAUUUUCUUGUGGGGCAUUAAUGUUUCUUGUAUAUAUAGUUUUAACCAUUACUUCUUUUAAUCAAAUUUUCAAUCUUUUUGUGGGUGCAAAACUAAUUUUGGUAAAGGAAAACACUUGCUUGAAGACUCUAACUUGUUUGUAUAUGUUUGGACUAAAAAGGUCACUUGAUGGACAUUGAGUUUCUGCUUUGCAAAGGUCGUUUAGCAACAAGAUAAUAAAUCGACCAGUACCCAUAGUUUUUAUUAUUAAAAUAAAUAUAAAUUAAUUAAUAUUCAAAUGAUGAAAUAACUAUAACUUUUCUGCCAAUAUCAGUAUAAUUAAGUUACAGUUUGAAUGUUCUUGAUAGAAAUAUUACUAAUGAAAUCGGCAUUUUCUAGGAAUAUCCGUAUAAUCUGUCUUUCACAAUCUCACUUCAUGAAAAGUUUCACAAGGUUGAGUUUUUUGGGUGUGUGUGGUGUGGACGUGUAGUCAAUCUGGAAAGGUUCCAUUUCUAUAACAAACUGAUUAACUAGUAUUGCUUGUUGAGUUCUACUCUAGGUAUAUUACACGUUGGUUAUGCAAAAAGGAGUAAAUAGUAUCAAAAAUUUUUUCCUGAUGGACUUGUAUAAAUUUUUUUCCUGAUGGACUUAGGAUUCUUAAUUUCUUACAAGAACCUGACUAGUAAAAGUGUGUCACACGUUUAGUUAUACUGUAGGUAUAUAUUAUGUCUCGACUGAAAGUUGUAAAACAAUAGUUUUAUUUGAAUGCACUUAAUACUAUAUUGAUCAAUGUGAAUCCUCAUAUAUAACAAUUCAAUUUCUUCAACUAUUCACUGAAAAUUCUAUUGUAGAACAAAGUGGAACUCAAAGAUAGAGCGCAUGGCAAAACCAAGGCAGCCGCUGCUAAGGUAUCCAUAUAGAGAUUCUAUGAUCAACUAUGAAUUCUUAAAAAAAAAAAAAAUAUGGUAACUAUUAUCCAGUUUCCACUUUCCACAAUAUAACUCAUAAAAGAGAAAAGGUGUAUGUUACACGAAAAAUAUUCUACUCAAGAAAAUAUACAAGUUACAACUCUCAUCUACGUACUCGUUUUACUACGGUUUAUGUCACUAUAACUGUUAUAGAUAUGCAUUAUGUGUUUAUAUGCAGCAUUAACACCAACGGUCUCAAAUGAUUUGAGAUUUGUAGACACACUUUUAUUAGUCAGGUUCUUAUAAGAAAUUAAGAAUCCUACAAUAUUAAAUAUUUUGAAAUUAGUUAUAGAAACAUAUGUUUUUUUUAUUUCUAUAUCGGCACUCCCUCAAAUUAUCCAAUAUUGCGCAGGCUAAAAUACCGUUUUACGUGAACAUAUUUACUGUACGACUAGUUAACAACUUAACAUGCAUGUAACUAAUGUUUUCCAAUCAAUCAGAAUGUUGCAAAGGCACCAGCAAAAGAGAACAAAAAGCCUCUUGAGUUCAAGCUUCACUCUGGCGAGAGAGCAGUGAAACGUGCCAUGUUCAACUACACGGUUUACACGAUCAUCCUUAAUAUUGUUUAAUUAAUUUUGCUUUUCAAUUUCCAUGUAGCUCAUUCCUCGUAUUCUCAGGUUGCAACAAAUUAUUAUAUCACAAAACUACAGAAGAAACAAGAGGAGAGGUUGCAAAAGGUAAUCUACAAAACAAAACAAAAUGCUUACUUAGCAUCUUGUUAGAGAAAAACCUUAGCCAAUUCAAACAAAGAAAAUAGUACUCUGACCUGUAUCCUACUAACACGGUACCGUACUUUUAUAUGACCAUGAAACUGAAGAUUUAAUUAAUUUCUUGGUGUAAGGUCUAAAACGGAAUUUUGGUUUGAUAUGAGUCCUGUGAACACACCUUCGACCGUACAUAGAUAUAUAACCGGAACUUCUUAAACUAAAAGAGUAGUGUACUUGGAAUCGGUUUAAGAAGAAUUCUCAAAAAUAAACCUUUUUAUUAAACCGAACCGUGGAACAGAUGAUAGAAGAGGAAGAGAUUCGUACGCUACGGAAGGAAAUGGUUCCAAAAGCUCAACUGAUGCCUUUCUUCGAUAGACCGUUCCUCCCACAGAGGUUAGUUUGGUCCUAAAGCGACUUUAAUAAUGCAAAAAAAAAAGAGUAGUAUUAAAUGAUUCAAAUGGUUAUUAAUUAUGAAUCUAAAUAUUUCUUUUUCUUUUCAAAUCAAUGUUUUGGGUGUAGAUCGAGCAGACCAUUGACGAUGCCAAAGGAACCAAGCUUUGGAAAUGUAAACAGUACUUGUUGGACUUGUGUCUUCAACAACCAACACUAUCUCUACCAUAUUCAUCAUGCUCAUGCUUAAAUCUUGAGAGCCACUAGCUCAGUUAGAGGCUUUUGCUAAUUUUCAUUUCAAAUCUUCCUUUUCCAAACUAUCUUUUUGUUAAUCUUGGUAAGUUUAUGUCUCUUUUCUUUGGUCCUUUCCUCUUCUCACUUUUUCGUAGAUUUAAAUAAAUGACUGAUUUCAAUUGAUCUCAUUUCCACGUUGAUAUACUUCCUCCGUUUCAAAAUGUAAGUAGUUUAGACUAAAAACACUAAUAUUAAGAAAAUUGGUAUUUUAAGAAAAAUAAUAUUUAAUUAAUUAGUUUAACCAAUUAUAAAAAAUUAAUAUUAUUUGAUUGGUUACACUAUAUCCAAUAAAUGUAAAAGUUAUUUAGAUAUUUAGAAACUACUUAUAUUUUGAAACAAACGGAGGGAGUAUAAGAUAGUCAGUCUUGUCAUUAAUACUUUAUCUCAACAUGCCCAUUGGAGAUACAAACGUUUGCUUGUUUUUCUAUAUCUCCUCGUAAUAGUCUGGUAUCGUCAAUGGUUGAAAAACAUGAAUCACUAAAAGUCUACAACUUAGAAAUGAUACUUGAUUGAUGUUUAAGAAUUUGCACAAACUAAUAAAAGUUAAAUAUAUAUUUUUACCUUUUAACUUUUAGUUUUUUUUAAAGUUUUGUUUGUUUCUCAAUAAAGUUAAACCAUUCGUAUUUUUAGACUUUGAUUUAUGUUUCUAGCAAAAUGCAUUAACUAAAAUCGAAAACAUUAGUCUUUCAAAUACAAAAACAAAAGAUAAGACAUGAGGGGGGGGGUUGUUAACAUGUAUCCUCUUUUUUGUCUUUUUACAUUUUAGAUUCUUAUUCUUUUAGAUUAUUGGAAUUUGGUUCACUAUUUUCUAAUUAUGCACUAUCUAAUCAUUCUCACGAUAACCAUCAUCAUUUGAAGUUUGAUAAUCUAUUUUUUGUUCAAAAAAUUGCAAAACGAAUAAAGAAAUAAGUAAAAAAUAUAAAUGUAUUUUAAAUAUUUAAUUGAUUCACAUCUAAAAAUAACAUAAACUUUCGCUAUUUUAUUAUUUUUUACUAUUUUCUAUUAUUUCAUUUACAAUUAUAUAUUUAUCUUAAUAUUAACCAAACUAAAGCAGAACACAUAAUCUAAACAGAAAACCUCCAUAAUCACAAAGAAAAAAAAUACCAAAGUAACUCUAACUCAAUAAAGGUCCAGAGCUCAAAGGCGAUCAAGAACGAAAACUAACUUACCCCACAUUAUCGUACAGUGUCUUGGCAAGAACAAUCAAAGUCAGAAAAAUGUAGAAAGAUAAUCUUGAGAUAAAGAAAUCCCUCGAAUACAGAGGAGUGUGAUCAAAGACCAAUGCAAAGAACCAAGAAAGCGACUUAGAGGAAGAAUAAUCAACAGAAGGCCAAAAUCACCACGAAGCAGGAAUAUACAUACAUAACUAACGAUAAGCACAACCACCGGCUAAGAGGUAAAAAGCACUUCACAAACUAAACAUGCACAAACAAGACGCCUAUGCCGGUGAAGAACCACAAAGCUCUGGAUAGAAGAGACCAAAUCUCCAAGAGACUAAUACCGCACACUUAUACUAAAAGAAGCAAGGGAAGAAGAGAACAACCUGAGUGAGGGAGAACGGAAGCCAUCCCCCGAGAAACCAGAGACCAGAAUUGAGACCAGAAACAAUCUUCCAAAUCUACAGAGCAUACUCGGAGGAGAACAAUAUCCAAACCUGGAGUGGUAAACAUGGCGAAUGAGAGAGUCACAGAGAUGCAAGCAGCGAUGAAAGCUGCAACGAGAUGAGGGAACAUAGAUGGAAGGGUAGACAAAACGAAAUUCAUCAAAUCGUGGAGCCGUACUCGAGCUAUAGAAUUUAUAUCACCAAAAACCAUAUCUUGAAAACCAAGACGAGAAGGAACUAUCGAUGGUAAGCUAACGACGAGGAAAACAACUUCAAAGACGACUAAACUCUUACCCAACCUAAGGAGAUGCAGUUCCUAACAUGAGCCGAAAUCUAAGAAAGAAGUGGAGAAAAAAGUGAGGAUGAACAAAAGCACAUAUGUGAGUCUUUUUCGGUGAUGAUGAGAAUCACAUCACACCGGAAAGGUAAACUAAAUGCAUAGAUGGUGACGGCUCAAUGUAAAAAUAUAGGGAGGGAACACAAAACAUCUUAAAAAAGUAAUGUUCAAAUUAUUAGAAAAAAAUAUUAAUUUUACCCAGAAACUAUUAGCCUUAGAAUCAAAAAAUGCCUAAAUGUAGAAUUAUUGAAAUUCAAUAUGCAUUACAUCACAAACUCACUCCACCACUAAUAAGUAUUAUUAUACCCACAACAACACACAAUUAAAAAAACAAACACAUAAUAUAUUAGCAUAUCACUUAUUACUACAUAACAUAAUAAAAAUACCAAAUAAUACUCUUAGCAAAUAAAGACGAUCACAUAAUUAGUUAACUAUAUCAUCCAAAAAAUAAUAAUUAACAACAAUAAAACAAUAUUCCACGCGAAUAUGCCCCUAGUUUUGUACACAGAAGAAGUAUGAGUAAUUAAUUAUAGUUGAAAUGAUUUACUGUUUGAAAUACAAAAAAUUGGAUGUUUCAGAUAUUUAAAUCAAUCAUGCUAAAAUCAUCUCGCUCACGCGCUGACAAGAACUUGAAGUUUGCCUAAAACAAUUUCCAAAAAAAUCACUUCCUAUUUUGUACAAAAAUGUUGUUUUAUGAAUGUUUACACUACUGACAAAAAAAAUGUUUACACUUAUUAAAAAAUAAUGUUCAUUCAUAAAUGUAUAAAUUUGUUUAUUGAAUAUAUACAUUUUAUUACUAUUAACAGAUGAAUAUACAUUAAAACUUAAAAGAGAAAAUGAUUAGGAUAGCACAAAAAAAGUUUUUGUCACAAAUAUAGCCUCUAGGGAGGGGGGGGGGGGAGAUUUGUUAACAUGUAUCCUCUUUUUUGUCUUUUUACAUUUUAGAUUCUUAUUCUUUUAGAUUAUUGGAAUUUGGUUCACUAUUUUCUAAUUAUGCACUAUCUAAUCCUUCUCACGAUAACCAUCAUCAUUUGAAGUUUGAUAAUCUAUUUUUUGUUCAAAAAAUUGCAAAACGAAUAAAGAAAUAAGUAAAAAAGUAUAAAUGUAUUUUAAAUAUUUAAUUGAUUCACAUCUAAAAAUAACAUAAACUUUAGCUAUUUUAUUAUUUUUUACUAUUUUCUAUUAUUUCAUUUACAAUUAUAUAUUUAUCUUAAUAUUAGCCAAACUAAAGCAGAACACAUAAUCUAAACAGAAAACCUCCAUAAUCACAAAAAAAAAAUGCCAAAGUAACUCUAACUCAAUAAAGGUCCAAAGCUCAAAGGCGAUCAAGAACAAAAACUAACUUACCCCACAUUAUCGUACAGUGUCUUGGCAAGAACAAUCAAAGUCAGAAAAAUGUAGAAAGAUAAUCUUGAGAUAAAGAAAUCCCUCGAAUACAGAGGAGUGUGAUCAAAGACCAAUGCAAAGAACCAAGAAAGCGACUUAGAGGAAGAAUAAUCAACAGAAGGCCAAAAUCACCACGAAGCAGGAAUAUACAUACAUAACAAACGAUAAGCACAACCACCAGCUAAGAGGUAAAAAACACCUCACAAACUAAACAUGCACAAACAAGACGCCUAUGCCGGUGAAGAACCACGUAUAAAUGUAUUUUAAAUAUUUAAUUGAUUCACAUCUAAAAAUAACAUAAACUUUAGCUAUUUUAUUAUUUUUUACUAUUUUCUAUUAUUUCAUUUACAAUUAUAUAUUUAUCUUAAUAUUAACCAAACUAAAGCAGAACACAUAAUCUAAACAGAAAACCUCCAUAAUCACAAAGAAAAAAAAUACCAAAGUAACUCUAACUCAAUAAAGGUCCAGAGCUCAAAGGCGAUCAAGAACGAAAACUAACUUACCCCACAUUAUCGUACAGUGUCUUGGCAAGAACAAUCAAAGUCAGAAAAAUGUAGAAAGAUAAUCUUGAGAUAAAGAAAUCCCUCGAAUACAGAGGAGUGUGAUCAAAGACCAAUGCAAAGAACCAAGAAAGCGACUUAGAGGAAGAAUAAUCAACAGAAGGCCAAAAUCACCACGAAGCAGGAAUAUACAUACAUAACAAACGAUAAGCACAACCACCAGCUAAGAGGUAAAAAACACCUCACAAACUAAACAUGCACAAACAAGACGCCUAUGCCGGUGAAGAACCACAAAGCUCUGGAUAGAAGAGACCAAUCUCCAAGAGACUAAUACCGCACACUUAUACUAAAAGAAGCAAGGGAAGAAGAGAACAACCUGAGUGAGGGAGAACGGAAGCCAUCCCCCGAGAAACCAGAGACCAGACUUGAAACCAGAAACAAUCUUCCAAAUCUACAGAGCAUACUCGGAGGAGAACAAUAUCCAAACCUGGAGUGGUAAACAUGGCGAAUGAGAGAGUCACAGAGAUGCAAGCAGCGAUGAAAGCUGCAACGAGAUGAGGGAACAUAGAUGGAAGGGUAGACAAAACGAAAUUCAUCAAAUCGUAAAACACCUCACAAACUAAACAUGCACAAACAAGACGCCUAUGCCGGUGAAGAACCACAAAGCUCUGGAUAGAAGAGACCAAUCUCCAAGAGACUAAUACCGCACACUUAUACUAAAAGAAGCAAGGGAAGAAGAGAACAACCUGAGUGAGGGAGAACGGAAGCCAUCCCCCGAGAAACCAGAGACCAGACUUGAAACCAGAAACAAUCUUCCAAAUCUACAGAGCAUACUCGGAGGAGAACAAUAUCCAAACCUGGAGUGGUAAACAUGGCGAAUGAGAGAGUCACAGAGAUGCAAGCAGCGAUGAAAGCUGCAACGAGAUGAGGGAACAUAGAUGGAAGGGUAGACAAAACGAAAUUCAUCAAAUCGUGGAGCCGUACUCGAGCUAUAGAAUUUAUAUCACCAAAAACCAUAUCUUAAAACCUAGACGAGAAGGGACUAUCGAUGGUAAGCUAACGACGAGGAAAACAACUUCAAAGACGACUAAACUCUGACCCAACCUAAGGAGAUACAGUUCCUAACAUGAGCCGAAAUCUAAGAAAGAAGUCGAAAAAAAAGUGAGGAUGAACAAAAGCACAUAUGUGAGUCUUUUUCGGUGAUGGUGAAGAUGGUGAGAAUCACAUCACACCGGAAAGGUAAACGAAAUGCAUAUAUGGUGACGGCUCAAUGUAAAAAUAUAGGGAGAGAGCACAAAACAUUUUUAAAAAGUAAUGUUCAAAUAAUUGGAAAAAAUAUUAAUUUUACCCAGAAACUAUUAGCCUUAGAAUCAACAAAUGCCUAAAUGUAGAAUUAUUGAAAUUCAAUAUGCAUUACAUCACAAACACACUCCACCACUAAUAAGUAUUAUUAUACCCACAACAACACACUAUUAAAAAAACAAACACAUAAUAUAUUAGCAUAUCACUUAUUACUACAUAACAUAAUAAAAAUUCCAAAUAAUACUCUUAGCAAAUAAAGACGAUCACAUAAUUAGUUAACUAUAUCAUCCAAAAAAUAAUAAUUAACAACAAUAAAACAAUAUUCCGCGCGGACACGCCCCUAGUUUUGUACACAGAAGAAGUAUGAGUAAUUAAUUCUAGUUGAAAUGAUUUAAUGUUUGAAAUACAAAAAAUUGGAUGUUUUAGAUAUUUAAAUCAAUCAUGCUAAAAUCAUCUCGCUCACGCGCUGACAAGAACUUGAAGUUUGCCUAAAACAAUUUCCAAAAAAAAUCACUUCCUAUUUUGUACAAAAAUGUUGUUUUAAGAUUGUUUACACUACUGACAAAAAAAAAAUGUUUACACUUAUUAAAAAUUAAUGUUCAUUCAUAAAUGUAUAAAUUUGUUUAUUGAAUAUAUACAUUUUAUUACUAUUAACAGAUGAAUAUACAUUAAAACUUAAAAGAGAAAAUGACUAGUAUAGCACUAAAAUUUUUUUUGUCACAAAUAUAGCCUAUAAGAAUAAAAAUGACCAAAAUAACACUUAAUGUUUUAUCAAAAGAGAUAAAUAUACAUUUAUACGCCAAUGGUAAAUUAAUUUAGAAAUUAGGGUUUAGAGUUAAGGGGUGGGGUUUAGGAUUUAGGAUUUAGGGUUUAGGGUUUAGAGUUUAGGAUUUAGGGUUUAGGGUUUAGGGUUUAGGUUUUAGAGGUUAGAGUUUAGGGUUUAGAGUUUAGGGUUUAGGAUUUUGGGUUUAGGGUUUAGAGUUUAGGGUUUAGAGUUUAGAGUUUGGGUUUUAGGGUUUAGAGUUUAGGUAGAGUUGAGAAGUGGGGUUUUGGGAUAAGAUUUCAAAUUUUGAAAAAUAAAAAAAAUUAAAUUUUUCAAAAGAUAAAAAUCUAUUUUGGUCAUUUUAGUUUUUAAGAACUAUUUUUGUGACAUAAACUUAGAAAUACGCUAUUUUGAAGAUUUGCCCAACUUAAAAUUUAUGUUUAAGAAAGAGUUAAAAAAACCCAUCACAACGAAACACAGGGAAUCGAGACUCAUGAUAGGUUAAUAGACACUAUGCACAAGAGUUUGCAAAUUCAAAUCCAUUUUUUUACAUUUUAACACUUUGGAUCAUCUUUUCUUUCUUCUACCUAAUUAUUCAAUACUAAAUUUACUUUUAUAUCUUACAAUAAUUUUGUAUAAUAAAUUCAACACCCUAUCCCACCAUACCUCACUAUUUUAAUUUCAUAUUUUUAUUUUUAUAUACUUACAUAGUUACAUAUUAAUAAUAUUAAUAAAAAUUGAAUAUAUACUAAAAUAACUAAGAUUUAAAUAAAAUUUAACAAUUAAUUGGUUUUUGUUUAAUAUUUAUUCGUGUAUUAAAAAUAAUUAAUUGGUUUUUGUUUAAUAUUUAUUCAUGUAUUAAAAAUCAAACUAAAUUUUAUUAAAAUAUAGUAAAAUGAUUUUAUUUUUUGUAACCAAAUAAAAUUAGAAGAAAGUUUCUCUUUAUAUAAUAUAAAAUAUAAUAAAUUUUGAUGUAGAAAUAAAUAAAAAUAAAUGAAUUGACUUUAUAAAAAUCAACCACAAAUAAUUAGGACAAAAAAAAUAUCAAAUAUAUUAAUGGGACAUUUGGUUCUAUAACAAAAAAAAAUCACCAAAUGACUAUAUCAAGCUAUAGGCUAUGAUAUACUUUCUAUAUUAUAUCUCUUUUAUUUUAUCCUUACUCUUUUUUUUUUCUAUUCUCUCGUCUCGAGCGUUUCUAAUGAUAUAAAGAUGAAUUUUAUAUUACGCUUCUCACACACGCACACUCUUAGUAUUUUACAUAUUUAAACAUAGUUUUUUUCUACACAUAACAUGAUUUGAAACUUUCAAAACAAACAUAUACUUUUUAUUAGAUUUUAUACAAUAUUUCAUAAAUUUGAUUUUAAAUCUAUAUAAUUUUACACAUGCAUAUGGUAUAGUUAGAUUUUACUGUUCAAAAGAGAAACAAUAAUAUUAUGUUAUAUUCUAUUUAAAAACAUAAAAUGGAAUGUACUCUCCGUUUUUCUCCCUGUUUAGAUUUGUUCUACGUGUACACAGAAAAUAGAAUAAUACGUGGACGAAUUUAAGUAUAAUCACACACUCAAGGAGAGAUUAGUUGUUUAGUAGGAAAUACAUUUAUUUUAAAAUUUUAUACUGAAAUUUUAUCAUUUUGUGGUUCAUAAAUAAAAACGUAUUCAUUUAUUCUGGACACUGAAAACGUUUUUACUAUAAUUUUCAUUAUUUUCUGUUAAGCUCUUGUUUAUAUAUCCAAACAUAUUUUAGUGAAACAAAUAAAAACAAUAAACUUUUUACACCCACACUUUAUCGUUCAGCUCUAACAUGUAAUGAAAAUGUUUCAAAUGUUGGAGAAAUCUAGUUUCAUGAAUUUCUACACAAAUGGAAAUAUGGAACAUCCAUCGUUGCUGGAAGAAAGAAAAAUCAUAUUAUGAAAAAAAAAAACUCUGAAUAUUGUGAUGAACAUUGCUCAUUUGAUCAUUUUGUGAUGGAACUUCAUGCAACAUUACAAUUACAUGAAAAAAUAUUGGGUAAAAAAAUCGGCGCUUACGAUAACACUAAAAGUAUGCAAAAAGCGGAUGUCAGAGAUUGAUGUGUUAGACUCUUAAAGUAGUGGUUCUAAGAUCAUCUUCGAAAAUGAACUCUAUUUUGAAGUUUUCAAAACACUAUAUUUGAAGUUUAAAGGUGUUCUUUUCCAAAAUAAAAACUUCAAACUCAACUUUAAAACUAUUUAUAUUUUAUAAUAUGGUCAUUAUAUUUGUCAUAACUAAUUUGAAUUCAUAAAACUUUUGUAAACAACUAGCACAUAUAUAAACAUAUUACAACAAUAUUAAUUAAUAAAAUAUUUUAUGAAAAUAUAAAAAUUAAAAAAAAAAUAAUUUAAUUAAUAUUAAACUUCAAACAUAAUACCAUAUUAUUUUAUAAAAUGAUUUCUGUAAUUCAUAUAUGAUCUAUUAGUGCGUUUCGAAGUAAAAAUGGCUCUCCUCAUUUUUACUUUGUAGAUUACGAACUAAAAUUUCUUGAAAUCGGAUAAUAUUGAUACUUGUAAAUACAUUAGACCGGAACAAGAAAGUAAAAGAGAAACAUCAAAUAUUGCUAAAAGACUAAUUUCUUUUGAUUAUAUUAAUACUCGUGAAUAUAUUCGAUAUGAACAAGAAUGAAUUGUACGAAAAAAGACAUCAAAAACAACAACAACAACCAUCUUCAGUUACACACAAAAAUUUGGACAAUAUUUGAAAAUUUUGAAGGUUCAUGAUCAAACUUACCUGACUAUUAGUGUUGUUGUAAUAUUUAAAUUUGUGUAAUAUUUAUGUCUUCAUGUAAUUUUUUAAAAUCUUUUUCUUAAGUUUUGUUUUGUAUAUUAUUGUUGUCUAAAUCUAGCUUAAAAUAUUUUCAAUCUUAAUUUAAAGUUUCAUUUAAUUUUAUGUGUAAAAUUUAAAAUCUUUAAACAAAAUUUAAAAUUUUUAUGAGAUAUAAUUUUUUUAAGGAUUAAAACAAUAAACGAGAAAAUAUUUAUGAAUCAUAAAAGUGAUGUGUGAUUGUAGGGACCAAAAUGCAAAUAAAAAUAUGAAACUUCACAUUUGAAGUUUUUGAAGAGUGAAACUCCAAAUAUAGAGUUUCACUUUUCAAAACUUCAAAUUUGAAGUUUCAUCUUUUCAUUUGCAAUUUAGUCCUUACAAUUAUACAUCAUAUUUAUAUUUCUUAAAUAUUGUUUUGUUUAACUUUUUAAUCCUUAUAACUUUUAUAUCUCAUAAAUAUUUCAAAUUUGUUUUAUAAAUUUAAGUUUUACACAUGAAAUUAAAUAAAAAAUUUAAAAUAAGAUUUAUAAUAUUUUAAAACUAAAAUUAAACAACAAGAAUAUUACAAAAAACCAUAAUAAAAACUUAUUAAAAAGACACAUGAAGAUCAAUGGCAGAAGCAACAGUUGAAAAGACGGAAAAUGAAGAUAUCCGAUUUCAGCAAUUUUUGGCUCGUAAUCUACUAAUAAAAAAUAAAGAGAAUCAUUUCUUACUUCGAAAUGUACUAGUUGAUCAUAUAUGGGAGCAUUACGGAAAUAAUUUUAUAAUAAUGUAAUAUUUGCUUGCAGUUUAAUAUUUCAUUAUGUACUUUUAUUUAUAAUUUUAUAUUUUAAUGUAUGAUUUUUUUAAUUAAUAUUUCUGUAAUAUAUAUAUAUAUAUAUAUAUGUGUAUUAGUUAUUUAUAGAAGUUUUAUGAAUUUACAUUAACUAUGACAAAUAUAAGGACUAUAGUGUAAAAUAUAAAUAAUUUUGAAGUUAGGUUUGAAAUUUUACUUUUGGAAAAUAACACAUUGAAACUUCAAAUAUAGAGUUUUGGAAACUUCAAAAUAGAGUUCAUUUUUGGAGAUGGUCUACGAGAGAAUGUGAGAGUGAGGCAAGUUCUUUCAACUUGCAAAAUUUAAUAUAUCUCGGGAGUGAUGCAACAAAAACAUUUGAAAUAAAAGUAAAUACACAACCUUGGAAACAUCCAAUAAAUAAUGAAAUAAUUCAAACAGUUGAAUGAGUUGGCGUCAAAAUCAAUCAAAGGCUAAAAUCACUUAAACAUGGAAAAACGUAUUGCCUACGUAACCGAGCCAAAAAUGUUGGAGAAUAAUUCCGCAACCAUAAAUCUGAAUAUACUUCAUAUAUUUAUUGAGAAUUCGGCCAAAAAAAACCUUAACUUUGCACGAAUUGCCAAAAGAAACAUAAACUUUUGGGCUGACCAAAAAAACACCAAACUUUCAUUGACUUUAGAAUUAAUUAACAAUGUUUUCGCUGACUUACCAAUUUAGCACGCCGUCAACAAAUUUAACAGAAAUAUUUGACGUCGUUUAUUGUUGGCGUUAAGUGAAACGACGUCGUUUUCAAAUGAUGUAAAACGACGUCGUUUUACAUGAUUUGAAAUUAAAAAUAUGUAGAACUCUGGAUUCGAAUCCAGGUUGGUUAGUCAAAUGGCAAUGUAUUUUACCACUAGACUACUGGCACUUUCAAUAUACUUAUUAACAUGUUUACUUUUAUUUGGUACAUAUUAAAUAUAAAAAAUUCUCUAAAAACUUAAUAAGAACUUUAAAAUUCCAAAAAAAAUUAAAGAACUAAAGAAGAGUUUUAUAAAAUUAAUUUAGAAAUUAAAACUAAAAAUAAAAUUUUAUUUUUCUUUUUAAAAAAUAAAAACUCUUCCAAAAUUUUCUAAAAACUUAAAAAGAUCUUUAAAAUUCCAAAAAAUUGAAAAAAUAAAGAAAUUUUUUAUAAAAUUAAUUUUGAAAUUAAAAUAGAAAAUAAAAUUUUAUUUUUUCUUUUCAAUUCGUGAAAAGUUCGUGUUUUUUUGAAAAGAAAAAAUAAAAUUUUAUUUUCUAUUUUAAUUUCAAAAUUAAUUUUAUAAAACAAAUUCUAUUUUAAUUUCAAAAUUAAUUUUAUAAAAAAUUUGGGGUAUCGAACUUAUGAUUAUGAGCUUGUUAAAAUUAAUUUUGAAAUUAAAAUAGAAAAUAAAAUUUUAUUUUUCUUUUCAAUUCGUGAAAAGUUCGUGUUUUUUUGAAAAGAAAAAAUAAAAUUUUAUUUUCUAUUUUAAUUUCAAAAUUAAUUUUAUAAAAAAUUUCUAUUUUAAUUUCAAAAUUAAUUUUAUAAAAAAUUUCUUUAUUUUUUCAUUUUUUUGGAAUUUUAAAGAUCUUUUUAAGUUUUUAGAAAAUUUUGGAAGAGUUUUUAUUUUUUAAAAAGAAAAAUAAAAUUUUAUUUUUAAUUUUUAUGCUCUAAAUUAAUUUUAUAAAAAUCUUCUUUAUUUUUUUAAUUUUUUUUGGAAUUUUAGAGAUCUUAUUAAGUUUUUAGAGAAUUUUUUAUAUUUAAUAUGUACCAAAUAAAAGUAAACAUGUUAGUAAGUACAUUGAAAGUGCAAGUAGCCUAGUGGAAAAAUACAUUGCCAUUUGACCAACCAACUUGGGUUCAAAUCCACGGGUCUACAUAUUUUUAAUUUCAAAUCAUGUAAAUCAUUUGAAAACGACGUCGUUUCACUUAACGCCAACAAUAAACGAUGUCAAAUAUUUCUGUUAAAUUUGUUGACGGCGUGCUAAAUUGGCAAGUCAGUGAAAACAUUGUUAAUUAAUUCUAAAGUCAAUGAAAGUUUGGUGUUUUUUUGGUCAGCCCAAAAGUUUAUGUUUCUUUUUGCAAUUCGUGCAAGGUUGAGGUUUUUUUUGGCCGAAUUCUCUAUAUCUAUUCCCAAAAAGUGAAUAAAUUAUUUUCCGCGUGGAUAAGAUUUAUUCUUUAUUUUAUACUCCCUCCGUUUCUAAUUGUAAAUAGUUUUGCAUAAAAACACAAAUAUUUAAAAAGCUGUAAUUUGAAAAAAAUAUAUCAUUUAAUCAAUUAAUUCAACCAAUUAUAAAAAACCUAACAUUAUUUCAUUGGUCACACGGUAUCCAAUAAAUGAAAAGAUGUAUUGAAAUAUAUAAACUACUUAUAUUGUGAAACAAACUCUUUUUGCUAGAACUACUUACAUUUGGAAACAGAUGGAGUAUAAGCCAUAUGGUAUAUAAGAAACCCCUUUGUACUUAAAUGAAUAAUGAGUAUGAUUAUGUAAAGUCAGAAAUAGAUAAUCCAUCUUAGGACUAUGCAAAUAAACCGAACCCGAAAACUCGAUCCGAACCCGGCAUAAGUACCGAAUGGAUCUUGUUUUAUGGUAUUUCGGGUUAUGGGUAUUAUCCGAUCCAAACCCGAACCUAAAUGGAUACCCGAUAGAAUCCGAAACAUUCAAAAUUUCCAAAAAGAACUUAAGUAGCCUAGUGGAAAAAUACAUUGCCAUUUGACCAACCAACUUGGGUUCAAAUCCACGGGUCUACAUAUUUUUAAUUUCAAAUCAUGUAAAUCAUUUGAAAACGACGUCGUUUCACUUAACGCCAACAAUAAACGAUGUCAAAUAUUUCUGUUAAAUUUGUUGACGGCGUGCUAAAUUGGCAAGUCAGUGAAAACAUUGUUAAUUAAUUCUAAAGUCAAUGAAAGUUUGGUGUUUUUUUGGUCAGCCCAAAAGUUUAUGUUUCUUUUUGCAAUUCGUGCAAAGUUGAGGUUUUUUUUGGCCGAAUUCUCUAUAUCUAUUCCCAAAAAGUGAAUAAAUUAUUUUCCGCGUGGAUAAGAUUUAUUCUUUAUUUUAUACUCCCUCCGUUUCUAAUUGUAAAUAGUUUUGCAUAAAAACACAAAUAUUUAAAAAGCUGUAAUUUGAAAAAAAUAUAUCAUUUAAUCAAUUAAUUCAACCAAUUAUAAAAAACCUAACAUUAUUUCAUUGGUCACACGGUAUCCAAUAAAUGAAAAGAUGUAUUGAAAUAUAUAAACUACUUAUAUUGUGAAACAAACUCUUUUUGCUAGAACUACUUACAUUUGGAAACAGAUGGAGUAUAAGCCAUAUGGUAUAUAAGAAACCCCUUUGUACUUAAAUGAAUAAUGAGUAUGAUUAUGUAAAGUCAGAAAUAGAUAAUCCAUCUUAGGACUAUGCAAAUAAACCGAACCCGAAAACUCGAUCCGAACCCGGCAUAAGUACCGAAUGGAUCUUGUUUUAUGGUAUUUCGGGUUAUGGGUAUUAUCCGAUCCAAACCCGAACCUAAAUGGAUACCCGAUAGAAUCCGAAACAUUCAAAAUUUCCAAAAAGAACUUGUACCAAACAUGAUCUCAAUUCCUAAUAUGUGUUCAAAAUAUAUUGAACAUUUAAAAUAGUUAUCUAUUAUAUGAAGAUUGGUGGUUGAAGAUGGCGGUUGAAGGUUGAAGUUUUUAGAUUUUGGUUUUGUUUUCAUUGAAUAAUGUUUUUCAUUUCAUGAGAACUUGGUUUUCGUUUUAUGCUUUCAUUUAUUUGAUUUUCUUUUGAUCAAUAACUAUGUUUACCUUUCACUUGAUUUUGAAUGAUCACAUUUGAUGUUCCUUUUUUUUGAACCGAUUUUAUUUAUAUUUUGAUUACAAAAUAGGUACAAAUCAAGUAUUUUAAAACCGAAGAACUGAUUAUACUUACUUUUUGAUUACAAAGUAGAUAUAAAUCAGGUAAAUUUAAACCGAAGAACCGAUUGAGACCCGAACCCGAAAGUACAUCGAGUUGUACCGGUUCUUUGAAGAUUUACUAACCCCAACCCGAACUCGAUAGAACCCGAACCGGUCUUGAACCGAAUUUUCAUGUAACCCGAAUGGGGCUGAUUUUGAUAAACCCGAUUGGACUAAACCGAAACCCGAUUGGGAUCCCGAAUACCCAUGCCUAAUCCAUCUAUUUAAGCAGUCUCUACGUGAAAUGAAUGUUAUAGUUGCAACGGUCAUUGACUCAUUGCUAUUAUGCAAGGCCCGAGUCUAUGGAUCUGGGUCCUAGAACUAGAAGAUCUGCUUUCUACUUUUUGGUUCUGUUCUUCCUUGAAACGUUCAACGGUCAAAUUUUUCCACUUGCUAAGAGCCUAAGACCAAAACAGCUUGCAAAUUAAGACCUAAUAAACUUCUGCUCAUUCUAUUCACUCGUAAAACUUUGACCCACCACUUGCAAAAAAAUAGUAUAAAUAUGAUUUUCAUUAUUUUAUAAAACCCUCAGAAAACUAUAAUCUCCCAAAUCAAUCUUGGUUUUGUUGAGAUUGCUUCACAUAAGAUGGGUUUUACAUGGGGAAUGAGACUACGUGGAGCUAGCAAGAAGAAGAUAGCUCCGGUAAUGAGUUGGUCGGAAUCGACAUCGGAGCCGGAUAUAACGAUUCCGCCGGAGUUUCAAUGCCCGAUCUCAAUCGAUCUCAUGAAAGAUCCGGUGAUAAUCUCCACAGGCAUUACCUACGAUCGCACAAGCAUCGAAAAAUGGAUCGAUUCAGGGAACAACACGUGUCCUGUCACGAACACAGUCUUGACCACUUUCGAUCAGAUCCCGAACCACACGAUUCGCAAGAUGAUCCAAGGAUGGUGCGUGGAGAUAGGAUCGUCGUUGAUUGAGCGGAUCCCAACGCCACGUGUCCCUUUGAUGCCGUGUGAGGUCUACGAGAUCUGUAGAAAGUUAUCCUCUGCUACGCGGCGUGGGGAUUACGAGAAAUGCGAGGAGAUUAUUUGGAGGAUUAAGAAGUUGGAAAAAGAAAGCGAGAAAAAUAGAAAUUGUAUUAUUGAAAACGGCGUCGCAUUGGUUUUGUGUGAUUGUUUCGAGAAGUUCUCGGCAGACGAGAAAUCAACGUCCAUCUUGGGAAAGAUUUUAUCUCUGCUGACGUGGAUGGUUCCUAUUGGGUGGGAGGGUUUAACGACACUGGCGUCUGCGUCGUCGUUUCGUUGCAUCGCGGGUUUCUUGAGGAGCAAGGACGAUACCGUUCGUGAAAACGCUGCGUUUUUGUUGAAGGAGAUCCUAUCGUUGGAAGAAACGCAAGUUCACGCGUUUGCGGAGGAGAACGGAGUCGCGGCAGCGUUUCUUAAACUUAUUCGCGAUUCCGUUUCGUCUAGCUCAACGAGAUCUUCCUUGACAGCGGUUUCUCAAAUGGUCUUGGCAAAGCCCGAGAUCGCGUCUGAGUUUCUCGAAAUCGGUCUUGUGAAUCAAACGGUGGAGAUGAUCAUUGAUGGUGAGAAUAGCGUUUGCGAGAAAGCGUUGGCGGUUCUAGACGCGGUUUGCGAAACCAGCGAAGGGAUAGAGGAAGUGAGGAAAAACGCGUUGGUGAUGCCGCUUUUGGUGAAGAAGAUUCUUAAGGUCUCUGAACAAGGGACGUGGAGCUCAGUGUCUGCGAUUUUGAAGCUGUGUAAAGCAGGGAACGCGUCCACGGUUGAAGAAGCGGUGCGUUUGGGAGCGUUUCAGAAGAUGUUUUUGGUGUUACAGGUUCGGUAUGGAGAAGAGACCAAGGAGAAAGCGACGGAGUUGUUGAAGAUGAUGAACACACAGAUGAAACUGAUGAGCGAUGAUGUUGAUUCUUCAAUGGAGUUUAAGUAUCUCAAGAAGCCAUUUUGAAGUAGAUAAAUUGUAUAAAGACAACCACAUUCUUUGCAAAUCACAGAUAUGAUCAUUAUGAAAAUGAAGCAAAUGAUCAAUGAGAAUUUAUAUAAAAUCUAAAUAAUGUUUAAAAAAGCCUAAAUGAAUGGGAAGAGACUUGGACAACAAGAAUAACAAUUAAUUUUAUAUAAAAUUCAAAUGGAUGAAUUUGUGAAAUAACCAUUAUAGAAAAAAAAUUAAGAAUAUAAUCAUCUCUUGGUAAUUGUGUCAAUUGAUUACAUAAGUGGACAUUUUUUCCUUUCCAGCCAGCGCGUGAGCAUGAACACAACAAACCAGAUAAGAAAGACUAUUCUAUUUCUGAUGUGUAUAUAGAAUAGAUAAGCAAUGUCCACACAAAAUGUAGUGAAGAGAGAGGUUCGAAACAUUUUAUGUGUAGAAAAAAUCUAUGUUUUCAAUAUGUAAAAUACAAAGUUUAAUAAGUAUUGAGUAUGAGUUGAAAUCAAUUAAAAACAGAAGGGGAAAACAUAUUUGUAAGACAAAGAAAAAGAAAAAAAAAAGAAAAAAAUGUUCAAGCAAAUGUAGUAAGGGUAAUAUGUCAAUUAUUACACAAAUAUCAUAGUUUAAGAGUUGUUAUGUGUAGAAAAUUGAUUUUGGUGUUUGUUAUGUUAUGUGUUCAAAUUUUCCAAUCAAAAUAAUGGUUUAAAAAGAAGUAUUGUUGCCAAAUUUUAUCUUUCAUACAAAUUAGGAUUCAACUUAUAACUAUACAAAUUUUGAACGAGGAAUCGUUGGUACUGAUUAGCUUCAAGUGUGAUAAUUUGAGUUAAUGUGAUGGAUAAGCUAUCCAUAAGAAUUAGGUUAUGUUUUCUUCUAAUGUAUUUGUAGGUGAAUGUUUCCACUUCCACUUUCACUAAAUGAAAUUAUAAAUAUAAGUUCCUUUGGAAUCAUUGUGUACGAUUUGAUUCAGAAGUUGCUGGUGUAGGAUAAGACAGACCGUGCAUCGAAUGCCAAAGUAGCAUACAUUGCUCCACCUGCAGAUUUCAACUACGACUGCAAACACCUUGGGACUGAGUCUUAUAUGUGUAAUGCUUGUGGGUUGAUGGGAGAUAGAAGCCCUUCUAUGUGUGUUCAAUGAGAAUUCAUGAUCCAUCAAGGCUGUAUUGGCCUUCCUCAUGUUAUUAACAUCAAUCGCCAUGAUCACCGUGUUUCUCGUACGUCGGUUAUUGGUGUUGUUAAUUCUGUGUGUGGAGUUUGUCGCAAGAAGGUGGACUAGACUUGUGGUGGGUUUUCCUGUCGGAGGUGUCCUGGCUAUGUCGUUCAGGCAGCUGCUCUUGAUCUUGGUUCAUUCAACAGUCUGCUAAAUUCGUCUACUUGAUGGUAGCAAGCAAAUGUAUAAUAUAGUCUACUUGAUGGGAGCAAAUGUAUAAUACGAUGCAAAUGUUUUCUUACAUCAUACUUGGAUGCUUAUCUUGUUUUUUUCUUUUUUCUGUGAUGAAUAAGCACAGUAUUCGAGAAAAGCAUUCUGAUAUGUCCCUAAAUCCAAAAACAAAAAGCUUUGAUCUCCGUUAACCGAACAAACUAUACCAACAUUCAUACGAAGAAUAUCGCCCUCCGGCUCCGCUAGGACGGUCAUAAGGACUCGGUUCUUCCCUCAUUAUGUACGGGAUCAUAGCUCCACACCAAGGGGCAGACCCAGGUCGAAGAAAGGUGUGGCAUGGGCCCCACACCUUUUUUUAUUUUUCCUAGGGAAAUUUAACCAAAAUUUAUUUACAUACCCUUAGUUUAUAUAUCUAUUUCAAUAUGUGCUCCAUACUAAAUAUCACUCUAGAUCCGCCCCUGGACCACACCUAUCACUUUCACUUCUUACGUAUCUGUCCCUGUCAUAGCCUCUCUUUCCUACCAUAUUCAUCCUUAUGACGAUGAUUGUAAGAAACCGGUUAAUAUCUAAUAAAAAUUUGGGUUUAAUUCAGUUCCGUUAAAAAUUUGGUAAGAACUCAGUUUUUUUUUUUGAAUUUUCAGAUAAAUUAAAAUAUUCCAAAUAAAUAAAUAUUUUAGUAAUUUAAUUCUUUCGGGUAAUUUGGAUAUUUUGAGUUUUCUAAGUUUUUGGUGAGCAAAAGAGGAGAGGAAACCAUUUCCGUGAUAUUCACUUUAUUUUUAAAAAAAUUUAGCCCAAAUUUGAUGAAGUUUAAAAGUUUAAUGUCAUAGCUAAAUUUUUCUUCUUUCUAUUUUUAUGAUAUAUUUUUAUUUAUUUUUGAAACUUCUGUAGAAUUAAAUUAUAUUAUCUAUUUAUUUAAGUUAUUAUUUAUUGAGUAAUUUUUAUCAUAAUCAAAUUAUAUUAUAUUCUUGCACUGAAUUUUAAUUGUUUUAUUAUAUUUUGUGUCUCCGAACUGAUUUUUUCUAUAAAAAAUUAUUAUGUAUUAAAUUUGGUUAUGGUUUAUAUUUAUUCCACCUUUACAAAACUUGAGUAGUGUCACCAAAAGUUAAAUAUCAUAAACACAUUUUCCAUCAUUUGUUUUUAUUACAUUUUUUAUUUUUAUUUUUGAUGGUGUAGAUCUGGGCGUUCAGGUUUUUGUUCGGAUCCAGUUAAUUUUCGUUAGCGUUUGCAGUUAUAGUGAUAAAUAAAUAUAAAAUAUUUUUAAGAAUAUUUUAAAAUUUAAAUUAAAAGUUUAAAACUUAUUAUAAAUAAAAAUAUAUAUACAUUUAAUAUUUUAAAUUAAGUUCACAAAAAUAUCAUAAUUUAUUUUAUAAAAACUUUAAACCAAGAAUAUUUAUUAUAAUUUUUAAACAUUAAUUUAUAUAUACAUAUAUAAUUAUGCAUAUAUAUGUUAGUGAAAAAAGUUCUAAUAUAAAUUUUGAAAAUUAUUGAAAUGAUAACUUUCCCUCUAAAUUAAAUUAAAAUUAUUGAAUUUAUAACUUUCCCUCUAAAUUAAAUUAUAAUUAAAUAAACAAAAUAUUUUUUAUUAAUUAUAUUAUAUUAAUAAUUAUAAAAAUAUCAACACAUCAUGACACUAUAAAAAUAUCAAAACAUAAUAUUAUGAUAAAAUUUUAAAUUAUUAAUAUAAUUUAAUUAAUAACAAUAUUAUGUUUGGAUAUUUUUAUAGUGUCAGGAUGUGUUAAUGUUGGUAAUUUAUUAUUAAACCAUGCAGUAUCUCAUAAUUAAUUUUUAUAAUCAUUCCAGGGGAUGAUUGAUAAGUACUGUGUCUUUUAUUUUUUGGCUUUAGAAUAAUAACGGUAGAUUUUAUUGUUGUAGCUGUAAAUAAAUUAUUUCCAGAGCACUAAAUAUAAAUCUCUAGAAAAAUUGAUUUUCAAAACUAUUUUGUUUCCUAUUUUAGUUUUUAUGGCUGUAGCUUUAAAUUUUUUCUUAAAUCAUAAUUGGUAAACUAAUAUGGAUGUAAAAGAGAAAUGAACCGUGGAAAGCACUCAGAGCGAUAACCAAUCACCCUUGUAAAUACAUCAAUUUGUAACCGCUAUACUAGUCGUAUAAAUUAUUUAAUAACAUUAGAAACGCGUUCACUCAUUUUCGCAAAUUGCAACCGCAUCCGUGACUGGUGCAUCUCAACUAGUUAUAGGCCCUAAACCAAAUGAGACUUCUUUCCUAUAUAUAAUAAUACAAAAUAAAACACUUAUCAAAGCUUUCCAAAGUCCAAGAGCACAGUUUCGUACAAGCAACCAACUUUGCAUCUUGCAAUUGACCCAAAAAUGGAGAAUCUACUGGGUCUUCUGAGAAUUCAUGUGAAGAGAGGUGUGAAUCUUGCCAUUAGAGAUACCUCAAGCAGCGAUCCUUACAUCGUCUUUUCCUCAGGAAAACAGGUAAAAGAAUCGAUUUUUGUGUUUUGAGAUUUGACAGCGGACUAUUUGAUUUUUUUUUAUGUCAGAUCUCCAACAUAAUACACCAAGAACUGAGAUUUUAGAUUUUAAAUUAAAAAUAGCUUAGUUAAUAUUAAUGGUUUUUCAAAACUUUGUUAGUUUGUUUGAUCAAGUCAUAUUUGGAGAGUUUUAUCUAAUUUGUACAAGGUCGUUGAAUCUUGAUUCAGUAUAUAUGUAUGAAGAGGGGCGUUGUCUUAACCUAAUAUAAAAUAGAAAGGAAAACUGAAACCUGUGGUCAUAUCUUCUCUGCUAAAGCUUAGAUAUGUAAUUUAUUAUUUUCUAACAAGUUUAACUGGAGAAGAAGACUUUAUGAUCAUGUUCAUGUUAUUGUGGGUCCUUGUUAUAUAUCUCUUACAUAAUCACCAAAAACUGAGAUUUAAGGUUUUGAGUUCAUCAGGGUUUAGUUAUCAGUAAUUGGGUUGAUCCUAAAUCUUGUUAGUUUGUUUGAUCAUGGCAGAUUUGGAGAGUUUUAUCUAAAUUUUUGAAAUUUCCUUCAAUCUUGAUUUAGUAUAUAUGUAUGGAGAGUGUUGGUGUCUUAAUAUAAAUUAGAAAAGAAAAUUGAAACCUGUGGUGAUAACUUCUCUGCUAAAGCUGAGAUAUGUAAUUGACAUUUUUUCACAAAAGUUAAAUUGGAGAAGAAGAAUAUGAUCAUGUUCAUGUUUUAGUGGGUUCUUGUAUUCGCACAAAAAAAACGUGGGUUCUUGUACAGAUGAUCUAUUGAAUUAUGUAGGGAAUAUUGGUCCUUUUUUACACUAAUGCCACCAACCUCUCCUCUUGUGUCAACAUCAAUACUCUGUCUCCAGCACUAAAUAAUUGAGAUGAUGAUUUGUGAUAUUUUUCCUUUUCGAAAACAUUCGAUAGUUCUUGAUUCUUGAUAAUCUCUAGUUUUAAUGUUUUAUUUAUUUGAUACAGAAGCUUAAAACCCGUGUAAUCAAACAUAGUAUUAACCCAGAAUGGAACGACGAGCUAACUCUUUCCGUUACAGAUCCAAAUCUCACUGUUAAACUUGUAAGUCAUCCUUACGUUUUAUUUUACCAUGACCGUUAAAAGCUAGUUUUACUAGAGAAAUGAAACAAUUUUUUGUUAUGUGCAGACGAUUUACGACAAGGACUUGUUUUCGGCCGAUGAUAAGAUGGGAGAAGCACAGUUUAGCAUUGCUCCAUAUCUUGAAGCCAUUAAACUACACCAUAAACUUGAAGGAGGACUUCCCCACGGAACCAUAAUCAUGAAGGUACAACCGACCAGACAAAACUGUUUGUCUGAAGAGAGUCAUAUUUUGUUGAACCAAGGCAAGCUUGUGCAGAAUAUAUUCCUUAGACUCCAGCACGUGGAGUGUGGAGAGGUCGAGCUACAGCUCGAGUGGAUUGAUGUUACCGGUUCAAAGGGUUUUUAAGUCUAUCCGAUCCGAUCCUUAGUUCCUUAUGCAUACAUGGUUUAGAAAUUAGAACUACGGCGUUGUUCAAAACUGGUCAGUGAAAGGAUCUUAAACUGGUUAUGUAAUGAACUCUUUUGUGUUUUCUGUUAUAAUUUGAGUCCAGGAGCGUGCAAGUCCAUGAGGAAUAACUUAAUGCAACUUUAUCCGUAGCUUUCUAAAACAUUAGUUCUGAAAAACAAAAUAUUAAUAUUUUAAUUACAUGAUUAAGUUUUAAUAUAAAUCAAAUAAUUUAAUCAUUGGACGAGGACAAGACAUAUGGAUCGAGAGGUUCUAAAAAAAUUUCAACCAAAAACUAGUUAUCUUUCUUUCUUAAUUUUUUUUUUAAUUUUCUUUAAAUAUUAGAUAUUCAUUAACAUCUUUCUAUUGGACUUGACUGGUUUUCUUGAUACCACCCGCGUCCGCGAACGCAACUUUUACGGUUGUUGACGUUUUGCAACAAUUAAACCUUUUAAAUUCAAAAGCUGGUUCUAGCUAGCGUUUGUGGUUGUCAGCGGUUGCAAAAACAUAAUUUUUUUUUCUUUUUUUAAAAAUAAUAUAAAUACAAUAAAAAUAAAAUUUUUAAAUUGAAGUAAUAGAAAUACUAAAAUAUAUCUUUUAUAUUUUAAUUUAUAUUAUAAUUUUUUUAAAAAAAUAUCUUCUAUAAUUUUUUAAAAUUAUAAUUUUAUAAAUAUAAUUUGUAUAUUUAUUAUAAUAUUAUAUUUUAAUAUUUUUAUACUUAUAUAAAAUAUAAAUAUUGUUAAUUUAUUAUUUAACCGCUGUUGUAUUUGGUGAUUUACCAGUCAUAAAUAUCUCUUAAAACCACUUAAAACCGCAACCAUCCGCAUCUGCAAACUCCCGCAACCGCUACAGCUGUGGUUACACCAGUCAGACCCUAAAUAUAACAUUUCGAUCUCUACAUGAUAUGGGGGUCUUAAAACAAGAAGGUGUAAAAAAGAAUCUAUUGGUUUAUUGUGUGAUAAAUCAAAUUUAUACGUUUAUAUUGACUAUGUUUUUAAUAUUUUUUAACAAUUUAACUAUUCAACUAAAUAUCUAAAUAUUUAAAAUAAAUUAACUGAAAAGAUAUUCAUACUUAUUUUUCUUAUUCCGAUCUAAUAAAUUUUAAUAUCUCUUUUUAUGAAAAAUAUAAAUAUACAGUUUUUAAAAGUACUAAUACUUUGUAAAUAUAUAAAUAAUUUUUUAAUUAUUGUUAAAUAGCAAAUAUAUACUUGUGUCUUGGGGAAGUAGUUGGUAACGCUGUGUUUGUUUUUGAGUGUUAAUUGUGUCGUUUAAUUGAGUCAAAGUUAGUCGGGAACUAUGACAUUUUCUUGGAACUAAUCGUCUAAUUGACGCUUUAGUGACCAUUUUUUCAGUUAUUGAUUGAAGACAAUACAACUCAAUGGUUAAAAGGAUAAACAUUAUAAGAAAAAUGUAAACCAGACACUCAAUGGUUAUCCCCAUUAGUAUUUGUAUCUCAUGGAAGCAUGUCCAAUAAACUCAAUCAAUAGAAAAAUAAAAUGAUAUCAUGUAAAGUAGGGAUAAAUAAACUAAAUGAGGUGAGAAAAAGAGAAGAAAUAAACCAAAGUAAGAAUAUUGUGUGAUCAGAAACCUGAAUGGGUAAGAGUCCAUGUCUCUUGUGAUCGAUUUUCCUUCGAUGAGACUGCACUUUAAACUCUUUAAAUAAAGUCAAUAGUGGUGAAUUUAGAUAUCUCUUAUGAACUGUGGGCUGAAAUGGUUAGGUUGUUAAGUAGAGAUCGAAUACAUGGAAAUACCUUCUAAGGUUGGUACUAGUUGAUGUGGCUUACACUGAUUGAGGUAAAAAUGUUGUUCAGAAUAUAUGUGAGUGUCAUUUUUUCAAACUUCUUUUACCUGUUUAGUCUCAUGUUUUGCUUGAGGAUAAGCAAAAACUAAGUUUGGGGAGUUGAUAUAUAAUAUUUUAGUGGAUCAGAGUCUUUUUGGUAUUUUCAAGUAGCUUUGGGUCAUUACAGGUUCAUGUAAGUUGUGGACAAAAUUGAAAUUUUUGAAGCACUUUGGACCAUGAAGGAGAGUUGCAGCUGAAAAGAACAAGUCGAGAUUGCAUCUUUGGAGUUGGUGUUGGUCAACACCACACAUUUGUGUCGGUGAACACCCAUCAUAGACAACAGUUCUCUACGAGUUUUUAACAAGUUAAAAAAAUUUAAGACUGAUCAAAAGUUUAUGCUUAUUUGCAAAUAAGUUAUUUUGUGUUUUAGACAUAUUUAGUUUUUUUUUUAAGAGUUAUUGUAUGAGAAUUCAUACUGGGUGAGAGAUUUCUUAAUGUUUUUUAGAGACAAAUCAAAAUUCACAAAGAGAAGAUUUCGAACUUCUUUAUUUAUUUAUUUUUAAUGCAAUUUAUUCAAGUAAUGAUUUAUGUUUCAUUGAAUAUGUCUGAGUAGUCUAUUUGUUAGAUUUAGAGUUUUUCAAUGCUUAAGGAUGAAUUAUUCUAAUCUUCUAUUCUUCAUCUAGAUUGAACCUAAUGCUAGUUGUGGAUUGACAACCUAAAAUUUAGAUUUUAGGAUAAUUGGUAGAUAUAAAAGUGUUAUUGAUUUCCUGAUUUAAUAUUAGAAGAGGAAAAUACUUAUCUGCAAAGAAAUUUGGUUUAUGGAUUUUGUGAACUUAUCAAACAUGUAUUUAAUGCUUGUCUUAACUGUUAAAUUUGAAAAACAUUACAAUUCUAGGAUCUAGACAUAUAUAAUUUCUGCAACGAAAGUUGAUUAAUUUAAAUAUUGUGAUUUGAGUUCAAAAUUGUUCUUCAUAAACUCUUAGCAAAUUGUUUGAUCUGCAAUUCUGAUUUACAUGAGAAUAUCCUUAAGUCUAGCGUUUUUCCUAAUCUAACUUACAACCAUUUUUAUUUCUCUUUUAUUUGUAUAACAUUCUUCUUUGUUUAACUUAAUUCAAAAAUUGAUAUUUAUUGAGUGAUUUUGAGUCUCAGUGGAUUUGACCCUACAUACUACUAUUGCACCUAUAAAUUUUUAAAGUAGCUCAGACUAUAUUUGAGCAUAUCACAAUCGUAUCUAGUAUAGCCCUGUUCGUUUGGUUGCCGCAGGUUUCGGCGUCAGCGGCAGCGUCAGCGGCGGCGGCAGCGUCAAUGAGGACAGUUGUUGUUCAAUUACUAAACAAAAGAACAUCCCAAACGUUACACAAAUUGAACACAAACAACAUCCUCAAACACAUAAGAGUCACAGAACCGAAACACAAUUAACAUCUGGAGUUUUUACUAUCAAACCAGCUUGAAAUAUGCUUGCAAAUGUUUUUUUUUUCAAUCUCAAUUGUAUUAUUGACCUUAGUUGUACUAAUUGUAUCAGUUUUGUACUUGUUCCAAUUCUAUUAAUUGUUUCAGUUGCUGUUAUCUCAGUUGUCUCAAACAAUUAUAUCAAUUUUUAAGAAAGAGAAAUGAACUCUUUUUUUCGAAAUUGGAUCCUACUAAAUUUGAAUGUUCUCGUUAUUCAAAAAUUAUUCAUUUAAAUCAUUGUAUAACCGGGCAAAGGAUAUAAUUGUCUCUUCAUAAUUUCAUUUAGAAUUGUGGAGGUUAAUUGAGAUUUUCUUUACCACCUAUUUUGAUCCAAAAAAAUAAGAUACCUAAAAGAACAUAGAUUGGUCUUGAAAGAUAAGAUACACACAUUUUAACAACAAACGGUUCUUUUUCUUCUUAAAAGCUAAACAAUUCCAAUUUCCAAGGUAACUUGACAAUCAAUCGAUGGAACUUUUUCCAUUUCUCACCUUUCCGAACUAAUACUUCUCUUGACGUUCUUUGACAUCCUUAAGCUUCUCUAUCUUCGCAUUCUCGUUGUUAGACUUUAAGCUGGAUACUUUUUGAGCACUGUCCAUUUGAUGUGACUUCAGCUUCAUACCGAAUCCGAGUUUCUUAGAAACGUUUUCCCACGUUUUGCUGCCGCUUCCAAAAGCACCACCACCCUUUGUUGUCUUAUCGAGUUUCUCUAUCUCCUGUCUCAUUUUUGAACAUUCUUUCUCUAACUCGCAAACCCGCAUUCUCAUUUUGUCCAUUCCAACUUUCAGGUCUUGAUUCUCUCGUACUGCGGUUUCCCAUCCUCCUUUGGUUGAUUCUCCUGAAAAUCCGUCGCUUCCUAACUUUCUUGACCGGCCAACGAGGCUGCCUAAAACCGGGAGGUAUUCAGCAACAGAGGCCUUGAGCUGAAGCUGCUCAAUGAAGAGCACUUGGACUAUUAUUCUUAGAGGCAACCUCUCGUUCUGUGCUGCGUGUGUGCAAGCUUCCGUAGAGAGCUUUUGGCAGUCUAACAACCUACAAAGAUCCUCUCUUUCUUUUUCCGCUAACCACGGAUGAUGCUACAAUUCAUCAAAAGAUGAAAAACAAUUAAUAUGCCUCUAUUGAAAAAAUAAAAGUCACCUUAGCAAAAUUGGAACAAUACAGAGAAGAUUACCCAUGUGAAAUGAUGACACGCUCUAAUCAAGAUUUGGUAUGUUUUCAUUUAAAAAAAAAAAAUUGUUUAGUCCUACCUUUAGGUAAAUGUCUAUUGCACGAUAGAGCCCGUCAUCUAAGAGUCUGGCGUAAUCAGGAACCGAAGCGGCUAAAGCUUGGAACUUUGGAAGCUUGAGAUUGGCAUCAGGAGCCACUUCAGCAAGAUACCCAUCUAUCAGCUUCGCAACAGCUGUCAUUGACUGUGAGGAUUCGUUUAAAUUCCCGUCAUCUACUGAAGAACACGAGGAGCUAGCCCCUACGGGCAUAGUAUGAUCCCAACUAAGAAAGUGGUCCAGGAUCCUUUGCACAGAGUCAACGUCAUAUAAAGUCUCAACAGUAUGAGAAAAGCUAGGCAUUACAAGAUCUUCCAACGUCGCCUGGUCAAGCUGCCUCCCUAUCCGCUUCUCCAGAUUCUCUAUGCAACUCGGACUAGCUUUCAGAAUCUUGGCGAUUAUAAGCAUGUCUACGAAAAACUUGGUCGGAAGUAAACCUUUUUGCAUACAGGGAAGAUCAAGCUCCUGAAUCUCUUCAAGCAAGUGUUUCUGCUCUUCUUCAGACAAUACACUCCCCGUGCUCAAAGGUGUGAUGGAAGAACUACCACUGUGACGUCGUCGUUUUAAGACAGGCAAGUAUUUUCUGGUGUAAUAGGUUAGGGAACCGGCGACGAUUUCUUCUCUUAUUCCUCGGGAAUCCAUGAGUGUGAUAAGUCUCUUAAAAAGAGCAAAACUAACCAUCGAUGCGUCCUCGUACCACCAAUCUGAACUAGUGUCUUCACGUCUAGCCCCUGUGCUUAUCCCGUUCCAUAAAACGCUGCCACCUGGACUCUGCAUGGGCCCACCAUACUCCACGAACGAGUUUGGAUCUGCCAAUGCUCUCAUGGCUAAUGAUUCGAUGCAUUUCUUGGUAAUGUUGAAUUCAUCAGCGUACUUGAGGACCUCAUCGCAGCAUUGAAGGGCUUUUAUUGAAUAUUUCCAGCUUUUGAAGACGACUUGAUUGAAAAACUUUCCGGUUUGGGAAAUUAGGUUUCCUUCCCCAUACUCCUCUGUCAUUUCGAGAUGCUUAGCAGCGCAUCUGAGGCAUACAACGUUGGAGGCAGUGAGUUCGAGCUUCACACCAUAGCAGAACUUGGCGACCAGCUCAAAAGUUUUGUCUCCGCCAGGAAAAUCAGAAAUCUGAAUGAGACAUUUGUCAUCACCUUCUUUAGACGCCUCUGCAAUCCUUCUUUCCAUGACUCCACUUCUUGAGAGCAAGGGAAACUACACAAUAAAAACAACUAUAAGAAAUUGUAAAUAACAACAUCAUUCUUUCUCAGAGAGGAGGCUUUAAUAAAAUAAUAAUGUAAGAUAUUAGAUAUAGGUCUGAGAAAUUAUAGUGAUUUACUCAUCAACUUCUUAUAGUCAAGAUAUUAGUGUGUUUAGGUGUUAUGCUCUCUACACCAAAAAAAUGAAAGAAACAUCUUUUUUAAAACGAGCAUGAUAAGAAGAGACUUGGUUCCUUAGAAAAAUUACGUAUGUGAAAAGAUUCUAAAAUACCUGCAAAUCAAACCCUAAAAGCCAUAAUCAUUCCAGAUAAAGGUAAUAUAUCACUGUACUUCAACAAGAGAGAUUUGUUUUGGUCGAGUCAAAUUUACCUUGUGGAGAUGGAAAGACACCUCUCCAACUUCAAUGAUGAUAUCAGUUGGAAGUCCACUUGUGCGAAACCUGCAAUAAUUGGAAAAAACCCGAAGAAUACAAAAGUAGACGUCAUUCCAAGUCUGAGCCAUUAGAAGGAGAAAAUCAAGAAGACGCAAAAACACACUAUAAAGUGAAUAUACCAAUCCUGGCCUUGUCUUUUGAAUGAAUCUGAUUUUGAUCCCAGCUUCAUGCAUGCCAUACUUCCUGUCAACAUAAUUCAACAAAGAAAUAAGCUAUCCAAAACCCUAAAACAAAUCACUCCACAAAAAUCAAAACCCUAAAGCUUGUGAGAAAUAUUGGCUAAUAAGAGCACUAGAGUAUAAUGCAGGCAUGAAUAGCAAUUUUCAAGAAUCAGCCACGAACAAGAGUGAAGAAAUGCAAUGCAAGACAGAAAUUAUCAAAACCUGUGCUAGAAAUUAGAGAUUAUUUGAUAGAAUACCCCAAAUUAUGUUUGAAUUUAAAAUUACCCUCAAGUCUUUUAUAAGUUUGAAAUAUAGCUUACAUUUUAUUUUAAUGACAUUUACAUUCUCAACUAUAAAAGAAUGGAGCGUAUAAUUGAUCUAAACCAAACGUAUAUCAGAUGAAAAUAACAAUAAAAAUAAAAUGUUUAGAUUUUACAUCAGCUUGGCCGUUAAGUCUUUAUAUUAAAUGUUUAGAUUUUUAAACCAAAAUUUUCUGAAUUCAAUGUUUAGAUUCUUAACCAAAUGUUUUUGAACAAAAAAAAAAAGAUUCUUAACCAAAUGUAUGUUUUUCAUCUUUUCUGCACAAAACAUAUUUAAAUUCAGUCUUUACGAAACUCAAUGAUCACCAAUCUAAACUUUUCGAUAGGACGAUAUCAUGUAGAUGGUUCUAUCGAGGAUUGAAUCCUCGAAUUAAAGAAGUCCAUAACAAGUAACAACGAAAUGAUCCAGUGUUUGGCCUUAACAACCAAACUAAAUCAAUAAAGGUUGUCAAUGACAACAAGUUAUAUAAUAAGUCAGAGAGCUUCUUAAUCUUGAUUACAUAUAUAGAUCUAAUUAAGAGCAACAUUCAAGUCACCAAAUCAAUGUAAAAAGAAACAGAUCAACGCAGAAAAACAAAAUAAUAAGAUAACACAAGUCACCUCUUUCUUUCUGAAUCAGCAAUGUCAGCGUGCUCACAACGUUUUUUUGGAAGAGAAGAGGUGCAUUUAUAGUGUUUAAUCAAUAAAAAAUAGUCAAAAAAAAACAAAAUAAAUUCACGGUUCAUUUGCGAUUGGCCCCCUUACAUUUUUAAAUCAUAAUUAAAUCACCAGUACCAAUCCAUUUUACAACGGCUCGUUCUCUGUAUUCUUUGUCAAAACUCGGUAAGACAACAUAGGGAAUGUGUUGGAUCCUGUAUUGAUAUCAUGUAAAGAAAACUGGCAGUCUCCCAAUCUCGGAGACGAAUAAGGUUCUAAAGUAUACCCAAGGCAGGUUAAUAGAUGUGCGGCACAUGCCACCCAUAAUAGUAUUAGAAUUAGUAAUAACAAAUUCAUAAAAUCAUUAAAACUUUUUGGUAUGAGAUGGCAAAAAUCAAGCUGUGCACCCCUUAUAAUUCAUGUUCCAUGCCUACUGAACAUCAAAAACUGAACAUCAAAAUAAACAAAAAGAUGGUGGGAAGUUAAUUAAGCUGUUGCUGUGAUUACUUUAGCAAAGGUUUCCGGUGUCUUCUGCGACGCUGUAAAAAGUAGCGCACUUAGAAUGGUCGCUGCCAUUAUUUUUGAUAGGCAAAAACACUGCUGCCGGUGCUACUCUCUAGAUGCGUGAACAAGAAAACAGUUAUAUUCAAUGACGAACGUUCAUUAGUCUUUCCAUUGAAAGGGCAAUAAAAGCUUCUCAUAUAGAGCAGAUACUCGUCGUACAGUAUACCUUCUGGAUUUCAGAUUACUGUGUCUCUCACAUCACUGAUAAAUCUCCUCAAAGUCCUAAUAGCUCUUUGGUCUACACAUCAAGGAUCUACUUUGAUUAAUGAUCAUUUAUGUUGUAUUAUAUUCAUAAUUUCACAUAUUCGAAUCCUACAAAUAUAAACAUGUUACAUCACGUAUUCCUUUGAAUUUGCAACUGAAAAGGUAGAAGUAAGGCCCAUCAGAACAAUCUUAACAGUGAAGAAGUGAAAAUGAUCGACGUUGUUACACUUUUGCAAUCACUAAAGUUUUGUGUCAUCAUGAGUCAAAACAAAACUUCAAAGGAAAGCAGUCUAAAAUAUAAAUCGCCGUCACUAAACAGAUACAUUAAUAGAACUUUCUAGAUUCCUCUAUACAAACACAAUCCCUAAAAUACGAUCAUCAAGCGCCGCCGUUGUUCAUCAUCAGCUUAAACUCCUCGAAGUUAACGCAACCGUCACCAUCGGUAUCAACUUUGCUAAUCAUCUUCCUGCAAUCCUGAACCGAACACUUCUCCCCCAGAUUCUUCAUCACGGAGUGAAGCUCCUUCGCCGAGAUCCGCCCGUUCCCAUCCAGAUCGUACAGCUCGAACGCUUCCUUCAGAUCGUUUUUGCUGUUUCCUCCUCCUCCUUGGUUCACUCCGAUCUGGAAAAGAGAGACGAACUCGUCCAUGUCGAUGAAUCCGUUCCCGUCGAGAUCGAACUGUUUCAUCAUCUUCACCGUUUCCUCCGGCGACGCGUUGGGGCUGAGCGCGCGGAUCACUUCCUUGAGCUCGUCGACGGAGAUUUUCCCGUCUCCGUUUUUGUCGAAUCGCUGAAAGACUCGGCGGAUAUCGUCCAUCGAGCCUAAACAGCUGCGAGCUCCGUUGCUCUUCGACAUUUGCAACAGAUUGAGAAUCUGAUAGUAACGAAAGCGUGUGGUGGAGAAGAAGACGAUGGUGAUGGUUUGUUAUGAUUUAAGGAAUCUAUAAAUAAGGGAGAUGAGGGAGUGACGUAAUAACGCGUUUUUAAAACGCGUUAAGAUUGCGUGAGCUGGGGAGUGAAGCAACUAGCCAAGCAUAUUUUUUCCUUAACUAAAUGCAUUAAUUAUUCUUGCCAUUGUUAGAAGGGCAAAUCUCCAAAAUAGCACAUUUCUAAGUUUAUAUCACAAAAAUAGCACUCAAAAACUAAAAUGACCAAAAUAACACCUUUCUAAGUUUAUCCUUUGAAAAUUUUAAUUUUUUUAUUUUUCAAAAUUUGAAAUCUUAUCCCCAAAACCUCAUUUCUCAACUCUAAACCAUAAACCUUAAACCCUAAACUCUAAACCCUAAACCUAAACCCUAAACUUUAAACCCUAAACUCUAAACCCUAAACCCUAAACCCUAAAAUCUAAACCCUAAAUCCUAAACCCUAAAAUCUAAACCCUAAACCCUAAACUCUAAACCCUAAA